CGCACGCGCGCUACACUGACCGGAUCAGCGUGUGCUCUCCUUGGCCGACAGGUCCGGGAAACCCGUUGAACCCCGGUCGUGCUAGGGAUAGGGAAUUGCAAUUAUUUCCCUUGAACGAGGAAUUCCCAGUAAGCGCGAGUCAUUAGCUCGCGUUGAUUACGUCCCUGCCCUUUGUACACACCUGCCCGUCGCUACUACCGAUUGAAUGGUUUAGUGAGGUCCUCCGAUUGGACCCGGUCCGGGCGGCGACGUCCGAGCCGGCGUCCGAGAAGACGAUCUAACUUGAUCAUUUAGAGGAAGUAAAAGUCGUAACAAGGUUUCCGUAGGUGAACCUGCGGAAGGAUCAUUA
rnacentral:ncRNA from 1 species